rnacentral:rRNA from 1 species
CCUACGGGAGGCAGCAGUGGGGAAUAUUGGACAAUGGGCGAAAGCCUGAUCCAGCCAUGCCGCGUGUGUGAAGAAGGUCUUCGGAUUGUAAAGCACUUUAAGUUGGGAGGAAGGGUUGUAGAUUAAUACUCUGCAAUUUUGACGUUACCGACAGAAUAAGCACCGGCUAACUCUGUGCCAGCAGCCGCGGUAAUACAGAGGGUGCAAGCGUUAAUCGGAAUUACUGGGCGUAAAGCGCGCGUAGGUGGUUUGUUAAGUUGGAUGUGAAAUCCCCGGGCUCAACCUGGGAACUGCAUUCAAAACUGACUGACUAGAGUAUGGUAGAGGGUGGUGGAAUUUCCUGUGUAGCGGUGAAAUGCGUAGAUAUAGGAAGGAACACCAGUGGCGAAGGCGACCACCUGGACUAAUACUGACACUGAGGUGCGAAAGCGUGGGGAGCAAACAGGAUUAGAUACCCUGGUAGUCCACGCCGUAAACGAUGUCAACUAGCCGUUGGAAGCCUUUGAGCUUUUAGUGGCGCNGCUAACGACAUUAAGUUAGUACCGCCGUCGGGGAGGACGGCCGGCCGAAACGGUUAAAAACGUUAACGAAAAGGAAAGUUAGUACGGACGUGAGACGNGCCGACGGACGACGACGAGGGAGGAGG